ensembl:lncRNA
AUUAAACGCGCAAACAAAACGGAGGUAUUUGGGCAUAAAUAUGGACGUAAUCGAACAAAACAAACAUUUCUUGUGGAAGUGGGAGUCCUGGGAGUGCAUUCCGACAAAGAUCAGCAAAGGAACUGAGGAGCUGUUUCUGCAAGGACAGGUCGUACUUCUGGACGGUGAUCGCGACUCCGACUGGGAUCCCCCGGUGCCAAGCUGCCCGCUCUACCUCUGCCCCCAGUGGUGUUCAUAUGCCACGGUUCAUUACUGCAGGCAUGACUGUGCCUCAGGGCCAAAAGGGCACAGCAUGGAGGCAACGUUGUGCUCUGUGUCGCAUGAACUGCACCACUUGUUCAGUUUGCCUCUGCUUUACAUCAGAAAGAGACUGUUAUGGGACAUGGCACAGGCAGCAAAAUAUUGUGUAGAGGACUUCCAAAGGGUUGCCCUCUUGUGUUAUCCAUCAAAAUUAUCUCCAGCAUCCUAUCUGACUGUGUGGCUAUUCUAGUACAUGUGAAAGAUGAUGCUACAACAAUAAAAACAGAAAACGUGUGCUCUUUCUUUCUCUUUUCUUCCACCAGAUCUACUGUGUUAUAUUAUCCUACAUUCAAUUAACAUUUCCACAAACCUCAGAAUGUUUCCAUUCAAAUGAUAC